rnacentral:lncRNA from 1 species
AUCAGACCAAUUAUUUCUGGGAUUGUGGGCUCAUAUUUUUAGUAACUGUCCUCCUGCUUCUCUGUAACAGGUUUUAUAAAUAUUCACUUAAUUACACACACACACACACAUACACACACAUACACACAGCUUGACAAAUAAUGGGCAUGAAAAAUUGACUAGUACUUGCUUUCAUUCUUCUAGAUGUCACCACGGUGGAUCCCAAAGACAGUUUUUCAAAAGACGCAAACGAUGUCACCACAGUGGAUCCCAAAGGCAAUUAUUCAGAAGAUGCAAAUGAUGACACCACAGUGGAUCCCAAAGACAAUUAUUCAGAAGAUGCAAAUGAUGCAAUCUUACUGCUGCAGCUCACAAACACUCCUGCA